rnacentral:rRNA from 1 species
UAACUGCUGGUAGCGGGGGAUAACUAUUGGAAACGAUAGCUAAUACCGCAUAACAGUAGAUGUUGCAUGACAUUUGCUCAAAAGGUGCAAUUGCAUCACUACCAGAUGGACCUGCGUUGUAUUAGCUAGUUGGUGGGGUAACGGCUCACCAAGGCGACGAUACAUAGCCGACCUGAGAGGGUGAUCGGCCACACUGGGACUGAGACACGGCCCAG